GAAAAACUUCUGCACUAUCAUCAAUGCAAUUUCUAGUUGUUGCGAAUAUGGAGUUUCUUAUUGCAUAUAUGGGGAAGUUGAUCACUUAAAAGAAAAAUUAGAAACUAAAUUCAAGUUAUAUAUGUGCACAUGUAUGUGUGUGUGUGUGUGUGUGUAAAAGGGAGGAGAGUAUACUCGAUAUCCUUCCAGCUACAAGGGGAAAAGAAAUCAAGAUAAGUAGAAGGAAAGAGAGACUGAUCACUCAAAAGUCCAUAGAAGAGUAUAAAAGAGUCUAGUUUACUUUACUUCUGCUAUGCAUUUCCCUGUAAUUGCAUACAAAACCUCAUCUACAUUGCACAUCACACCACCACGGCAUCACAAUUACACCACAGCGUAAUUAUCUGAACUUAUGCAAAACCACCACAGCACCUCACAAUUGUCGUUGCCUGCUUCACGUAGCGACGAUCACAACCACCCUAAACCUUUGUAAAAAGCACAAAUAAAACCAUCGAUCAUUCAAAGAAAUAAAAAUUCAAAAAAAAUAAAAAAAAUAACAUAUCCGUACCGCUCAUGGCGACAUUGUACUACUACACAUAGAGGAACGCCGUAGGCAUGAAGCAACGGUGGGGCGCCUAGCGCACAGCAACUAUGAAUACAAAGAAAAGUUAUUGCACACGAAAGAGCAUCACAGCUGUCCCUUGAAGAUUUGUCGAAGUGGUUGCACCGUGAAAAGUCAUUUGUGGGAGAAAUGAAGCAGCAACAGGGAUGAUGGAUAGUAUUUUUAAAUGAUUAGGUUUUGUGGGCAGGUAGGGUGGGCAGGGGUUGAGAUAGAGGUGGUAGAUUAAUUAAAUUUAAUAAUAUUAUUAAUAUUAAAAAGUUGAAUUAUGAUAUGAAUUUUUUAAAUAAAUUGUAAAUUUGAUUUUUGAAAUUAAAAGUUGAAAUCUAUGAGUAGGUGUAAUUUUCACAAGAAAAAUUAUAGGGAAACCUAGGACUAUGAAGAUUGCGGUUUGGGCUUUUACCUGGGUUGGGCUCUUGCAA
rnacentral:lncRNA from 1 species